rnacentral:rRNA from 1 species
GUCGAGAAUUUUGGGCAAUGGACGAAAGUCUGACCCAGCAAUGUCGCGUGCGGGAUGAAGGUCUUCGGAUUGUAAACCGCUGUCGAGGGGGACGAAAAAUGACGGUACCCCUGGAGGAAGCCACGGCUAACUACGUGCCAGCAGCCGCGGUAAUACGUAGGUGGCGAGCGUUGUUCGGAUUUAUUGGGCGUAAAGGGUCCGCAGGGGGUUGAUUAAGUCUGACGUGAAAUCUCUGAGCUCAACUCAGAAAUUGCGUUGGAGACUGGUUGGCUAGAGUGUUGGAGAGGUAAUUGGAAUUCCAGGUGUAGCGGUGGAAUGCGUAGAUAUCUGGAAGAACAUCGAAAGCGAAGGCAGAUUACUGGACAACAACUGACCCUCAGGGACGAAAGCAUGGGGAGCAAACAGGAUUAGAUACCCCUGUAGUCC